UAGAUGCGGAUUUCCUAUUAAUUCGUUUGAAUAACAAAAUUCCUUCCGGAAGUGUCUUGUUUUAAUCCAAUUUCCCUGAAAAUUAUUUCACGAAAUUUUCACUGAGUUUAAAACGUUUUGUUAACCUACUUUUGAUCUUCCUUUGAUUGAAAGAACUUAAUUGGAUUGGAAUAACUUUUACCAAUUGUGGUACUUGUGCCUGCCAUGUAGUAAUGGUUUCAUUUUGAUUAGAGCUAAGCUUGCGCGCGCUCAGCAAGCAAAGAUCUGUUGGAAAUGUAAGAAGAAAUUUAACUGGCGUAGUUUUAAUGUAGGCUACCAGCAAUAUCAGUAAAAAAGUGUCAUCAUUUCCUGCUUCCCAGACAACUACUGACUGUCCAGUGGCUCUGUCGAACUGUUUAAGAAAUCCAUGCGAUGGAGCACCAUGUCCUUUGAGGAGAGCAGCAACCUGCGUCCCUAACUACUGUGGCGGAUGUUAUGACACUUGGUAUGAAAAUGGGAAACGAGUUUACUGUUGGGGACCAUGAUGGUUUGAAUGAGUGAAUAAAGUAGUUGCUGUAUU